rnacentral:rRNA from 1 species
UACGGAGGGGGCUAGCGUUGUUCGGAAUUACUGGGCGUAACGCGCGCGUAGGCGGACCUGCAAGUCGGGGGUGAAAGCCCGAGGCUCAACCUCGGAACUGCCUUCGAUACUGCGGGUCUCGAGUCCGGGAGAGGUGAGUGGAAUUCCUAGUGUAGAGGUGAAAUUCGUAGAUAUUAGGAAGAACACCAGUGGCGAAGGCGGCUCACUGGCCCGGUACUGACGCUGAGGCGCGAGAGCGUGGGGAGCAAACCGG